CAAACAUAUAUAUAUAUAUAUAUAUAUAUAUAUAAUAUAUAUAGCUGAAAUUGGAUUAGAAAUAGAUGUGCUUGCUGUUCGUCUUUAAAACAAUUCCAUGAAUUGUUCCUUCUGGGAAUAUAAGUUAAAAGAAUGGAUACUUCAGGCCUCCACCUGUAUCGCACCCUUUCUUUGCUGACUGCGAAUUGAAUUAUGUAAGAAUGUUUUUUGAAGGGGGGGGUGGUCUUUUGGUGUGGGCACCUCCCCCCUCAGGCCCCUCCGGGUGCAUGUUGUGCCGCCCUCUGGUGGCUGAGUGGUGUAAAUACCAGCUACAACUCCCGCUGCAGUGGCCAGGAAUACUUGUAAAGAAUCCCGGCUCCGCGCGAAUAAUUAUUCAUUUCGGAAGUUGAAAAUGUAUGAACCAGGGAUGUGCCGAUUGAUUCACUAUCGGCUGAUAUUCCUCAAAAUGAUGUCAUUGCCGAUCCCCUCUGGCUGACACUGUAUUUCUGCACUAGCAGUUAGCAGCUAAUUGUGUGUCUCCUCCAAGCUAAUAAUAAUAAUCACUUCCAUUACUGCAAAUAAACUGCAGUUAUUUGUAUCCCAAGUACAUUAUCACUGGAGGACGAGGCUGAACACGAUACACACAAUAUUGUGUUGAACUUUGUUCAUGCGUCGGCAGCACUCGCCACAGGUGGGUUGUCGGUACAGGUGGCUGGCAUCGGACUCGGCACGUCCCGAGAGUUUCCAUUUACAAAGUCACGUGCUAUGCUAACCCUCUCAUUUUGCCUCAUAUCAAUGCUGCGCUGCGGCCAAAGUAUUCCCUGGAAACAAGGACUGUCACAAAGCCGUAAGCAGUCGCCAGGAUCUAAGACUCUAUGCCAGAUAUUUAUCAAACAUAUGCAAGUAUAGUUUUCAUCAACUCCAGCGCCGUUCAACACUGCCAAAUGGUUCGCCAGUUGAUUUCCACCUUUCGUAUUGCUAAUGUAAAGCCGUUUUUUACAACCUGUGGUUCCAAACUUCCAACGGCUUCUGCGCCCGCUCCAAGGUCAUUGAUUAUGUGGAAAUAGACCGGACUUCUGAUCUUCCGUCGUGUUUCCUUCAAGUCACUUCCCGCGAGCAGCGUACAGUUUUUGGCUAUGCAGGCCCGUGCCAGACCUCACAGCGCUUCCUCUCACGUCGUCCCAGGGCCGCGCUUUUAAGCUGACCCCACUCACCAGCAGGACCGUUCUGUCACUGUGGUUUUUAGUCCCACCCGAGCCCCCAGCCCGCUUGUAGUGGACCUCUAGAUUUGCAUUGGAAGCGUCCUGUAGAUUCACCGAGAACAUCCAGGACUGAGAGUAUUUACCGUGUGCUUGGUAGCUGAACUUUUCCAAGGUCUACGCACCCUUUCUGGCUUUCUUCUCUUCUCCUCGACAUUAGCACGCACUCUCCAUUUGUACGUGGGUGUGUUCGGACCACCACCAGACUUUCACCCCGGUCAAAGUCAAAAAAGUAUUACCACAAAAAAAAGCGGCGAUUUGUUGUAGUCCCGUUUUUUUCUAUUUUGUUUUUUUUUCCAAGGGGAAAAAGUUGUAUUUCUACAAACAAAAAAAGUGGUGAUUUUGCAAGGAAAAGGUGUGUAAAGACCGUUUUAACGGAAAAGUUGUAUUGUUACAACUUUUUACCCUUGUACAAAAAAUAUUUCUACAAAAAAAAGUUGUGAUUUCACAGGAAAAAAGUGUGUACCGGAAAAAAAAAAUUGGUGAUUUUGCAAGGAAAAGUUGUGUAAAGAUAGUUUUACAGGAAAACUUGUAGCCCUGUUUUUUUAUUUUUUAUUUUACAGGGGGAAAAAGUCGUAUUUCUACAAAAAAAGUUCUGAUUUUGCAAGGAAAAAGUGUGUAAAAAAUGUUUAGAAAAAUAAAAAAAAACAAUGGAAAAAAGACGUAUUUCUACAACAAAAAAAAAGUACAGAUAUUCCAAGGAAAAGGUGUGUAAAGAUAGUUUUACCGGAAAAGUUGGAGUACCGUUUUAGAAAAAAAUAAAAUAAAAUUACAAGGGGAAAAAAAAUCGUAUUUUUACCAAAAAUAGUUGUGAUUUUGCAAGGAAAAGGUGUGUAAAGACCGUUUUACCGGAAAAGUUGUAUUGUUACAACUUUUUUCCCUCGUAAAAAAAAAUAUUUCUACAAAAAAAGUGUCGAUUUGGCAAGGAAAAGGUGUGUAAAGACCGUUUUAACGGAAAAGUUGUAUUGUUACAACUUUUUUCCCUUGUAAAAAAAAUAUUUCUACAAAAAAAAAGUUGUGAUUUUACAAGAAAAAAAUGUGUACCGGAAAAGUUGUAGUACCCUUUUUUUUAAAUUUUAUUUUAAAAGGGGAAAAAGUCGUAUUUCUACAAAAAAAGUGGUGAUUUUGCAAAGAAAAUGUGUGUAAAGACCGUUCUACCAAAAAAGUUGUAGUUCCGUUUUUUUGUUUUUUUUUAAAGGGGAAAAAGUCAUAAUCCUACAAAAAAAAAAAGUGGUGAUUUUGCAAGGAAAAGUUGUGUAAAGAUAGUUUUACAGGAAAACUUGUAGCCCUGUUUUUUUAUUUUUUAUUUUACAGGGGGAAAAAGUCGUAUUUCUACAAAAAAAGUUCUGAUUUUGCAAGGAAAAAGUGUGUAAAAAAUGUUUGGAAAAAUAAAAAAAAACAAUGGGAAAAAGAUGUAUUUCUACAAAAAAAAAAAAAAGUACAGAUAUUCCAAAGAAAAGGUGUGUAAAGAUAGUUUUACCGGAAAAGUUGGAGUACCGUUUUAGAAAAAAAUAAAAUAAAAUUAGAAGGGGGAAAAAAAAAGUAUUUUUACAAAAAAUUGUUGUGAUUUUGCAAGGAAAAGGUGUGUAAAGACCGUUUUACCGGAAAAGUUGUAUUGUUACAACUUUUUUCCCUUGUAAAAAAAAUAUUUCUACAAAAACAAGUUGUGAUUUUACAAGAAAAAGGUGUGUACCAGAAAAGUUGUAGAACCCUUUUUUUAAAUGUUAUUUUAAAAGGGGAAAAAGUCGUAUUUCUACAAAAAAAGGUGGUGAUUUUGCAAGGAAAAUGUGUGUAAAAACCAUUUUACCCAAAAAGUUGUAGUUCCGUUUUUUUUUUAAAGGGGAAAAAGUCAUAAUCCUACACAAAAAAAGUGGUGAUUUUGCAAGGAAAAGUUGUGUAAAGAUAGUUUUACAGGAAAACUUGUAGCCCUGUUUUUGUUUUUUUUAUUUUACAGGGGGAAAAAGUCGUAUUUCUACAAAAAAAAGUUCUGAUUUUGCAAGGAAAAAGUGUGUAAAAAAUGUUUGGAAAAAUUGAAAAAAACAAUGUAUUUCUACAAAAAAAAGUACAGAUAUUCCAAGGAAAAUGUGUGUAAAGAAAGUUUUACCGGAAAAGUUGGAGUACCGUUUUAGAAAAAAAUAAAAUAAAAUUACAAGGGGAAAAAAAUCAUAUUUCUACAAAAAAUAGUUGUGAUUUUGCAAGGAAAAGGUGUGUAAAGACCGUUUUAACGGAAAAGUUGUAUUGUUACAACUUUUUUCCCUUGUACAAAAAAAUAUUUCUACAAAAAAAGUGUCGAUUUUCCAAGGAAAAGUUGUAGUCCCGUUUUUUUUGUUUUUUUACAAAGGGAAAAAGUCAUAUUUCUACAAAAAAAAUUGUCAUUUUGCAAGGAUAAAGUGUGUAAAAAUUGUUUUACUGGUAAAGUUGUAUUGUUACAACUUGUAAAAAAAAUAUUUUUCUACAUAAAAAGUGGUGAUUUUGCAAGGAAAAGGUUUUUAAAGAUAGUUUUAAAGGAAAACUUGUAGUCCUGUUUUUUCAAACAUUUUUUACAAGGGGAAAAAGUCGUAUCGCUACAAAAAAAGUUGUGAUUUUGCAAGGAAUAAUAAGUGUAUAAAAAUAGUUUUACCGGAAAAGUUGUAUUGUUACAACUUUUUUCCCUUGUAAAAAAAAUAUUUCUACAAAAGAAUUUGAGAUUUUACAAGGAAAAGUUGUGUAAAUAUAGUUUCACCAGAAAAGUUGUAGUACCGUUUAAAAAAAAAAAAGUUUUACAAGGGGAAAAAGUCGGAUUGCUACAAAGGAAAGUUGUGAUUUUGCAA